rnacentral:rRNA from 1 species
AUUGAACGCUGGCGGCAUGCUUUACACAUGCAAGUCGAACGGUAACAGGGUGCUUGCACCGCUGACGAGUGGCGAACGGGUGAGUAAUGCGUCGGAACGUGCCGAGUAGUGGGGGAUAACGCAUCGAAAGGUGUGCUAAUACCGCAUACGUACUGAGGUAGAAAGUGGGGGACCUUCGGGCCUCACGCUAUUCGAGCGGCCGACGUCUGAUUAGCUAGUUGGUGAGGUAAAGGCUCACCAAGGCGACGAUCAGUAGCGGGUCUGAGAGGAUGAUCCGCCACACUGGGACUGAGACACGGCCCAGACUCCUACGGGAGGCAGCAGUGGGGAAUUUUGGACAAUGGGCGCAAGCCUGAUCCAGCCAUGCCGCGUGUCUGAAGAAGGCCUUCGGGUUGUAAAGGACUUUUGUCCGGGAGCGAAUACCCAGUGCUAAUAACGCUGGGGGCUGAGAGUACCGGAAGAAUAAGCACCGGCUAACUACGUGCCAGCCGCCGCAGUAA